AAACUCACGGAUUCGGAUUCGCGGAUAUGAUGGAAGAAGGCCAAACGCUCCUGUCUUGUGGAAUUACACACUGGCCCAUUCCACUGUCCUUCCUGUGUGUUUGGCUUUUUCAGAACCUGCAUGGACAAGUCUGAUGAGUUUGGAGAUGUUGCCGUGGCCCUCCUUACAGACAAUGGCACAAAUCCAGUUCAUUACCAACCUGUGAAAGUCUCAUGUCAUCAUGGAGAUAUGACUCAAGUUGUUAGGUCUAAAUACAACACAAUUACAAAAGAGACUAAUAAAUAUUGUUUAAUUGUACUUCAUAGUUGUCAAAUACACAAUAAAAUAACUAGUUAAGAUGAUCCAUUAAGUAAUAACAAUAAUGUAAUAUAAAAUGACAAAUAAUUAUAAUGGAAUAUAUAAUGUUAACAUGAAAAUAACUAGUAAUUAUAAUGUUAUACAAUAAAUACAAUAUAAAUUAACAAAAUAAUCAGAAAAACCCACAAUAUAAUGAAUAAAGAAAAUAAUAAUAAAUGCUAGUAAUAACAAAUAAUAAACUCAGAUUUGGUAGUCUUCGCAUCACAGCUUCUCUUAUCACAGAGCUUGAUGAAGCACAUCGGUGGGUGAUGGAAUGGACUCUGUAGUCAACAACUUGUGGGUUUGCUGUCUUGGAUGGCUAUCCACUAGCGUUGGGUGGUGAGUGUUGUCCCAUCACACCAUAUCUAUGGGAAUGACCCACGGCGUCAGGUGGUGUGACACGCUCACUGACCCAUCGCUCACCUGAAGCACUCUUACCAUAGCGAGACGCUGCUUUAUUUCUUGCACUGACAGUGACAGAUCAAUAGUGAGGCAUCGCUCGGUGGGUGACGGAUGGUGUCAAAGACGGCUUCUCAUGAGAUUGUUGACUACAAAAAUAAUAAGAAUAUAUUUGCAAAUAAGAACCUAAGUGAUGCGAUGACUACCAGUCAGGGUACAGAAGGUGAUCCGUCCUUGAUAGAAUUGAA